ensembl:lncRNA novel transcript
GAGGCUCUGAAGUGGGUAAUUGCAGACCACAGCUAGGCUGGAAUGCUGUGUUUGGGGUGGUCAUUAGAGUCGUGGUCUCUUUAGCGUUAUGAAGCCUACCUUGACUCCUAGGUGUUCAUUGUGAAUCUUGUUGGUGCUGGUAUCGCUGUACCUCUCAAAUAGCUUCCCCAUUUUGACUAAGAAUGAAGAACUUCUUGGACAAAGAACUUGUAAAAAUCAGGGUCUCUAUCAUGAAAAAGAGGGAUCCCUGACAGAGCCUUCUGACUUGCAAGUGUGAACUACAGCCCAGAACAUUUCAGCCAUCCUGAGCUUCACAUGAAGUUGGGAUCUUGGCAUUAGGGUUGGAUGUCACUGAGGAUAGUCACUGACAUGGAUUACAAACACUGUGGACUCUGCCCCACCCCUAUCUUUAAAUUCUGAACCUGCCCUGUAGAAUAUUGGUUGGAGCCGUGCAAGACAAUGGAAGCAAGCUUGGCAAUCACUUCUGUCUGCUUUUCUGUCCAGUGUGAAGUGUCUACUGCUUUGUUACACUGAUCCUUCUUCAUAAGAAAAAAAA